CAACCUACCUAUCAGAGGGGAAUAACCCGGCGAAAGUCGGACUAAUACCGCAUAAAACAGGGGCACCGCAUGGUGAUAUUUGUUAAAGAAAUUCGCUGAUAGAUGGGCACGCGUUCCAUUAGGUAGUUGGUGAGGUAACGGCUCACCAAGCCGACGAUGGAUAGGGGAACUGAGAGGUUGGUCCCCCACACUGGUACUGAGACACGGACCAGACUCCUACGGGAGGCAGCAGUGAGGAAUAUUGGUCAAUGGGCGGGAGCCUGAACCAGCCAAGUCGCGUGAAGGAAGAAGGAUCUAUGGUUCGUAAACUUCUUUUGCAGGGGAAUAAAGUGCAGGACGUGUCCUGUUUUGUAUGUACCCUGAGAAUAAGGAUCGGCUAACUCCGUGCCAGCAGCCGCGGUAAUACGGAGGAUCCGAGCGUUAUCCGGAUUUAUUGGGUUUAAAGGGUGCGUAGGUGGUUUGAUAAGUCAGCGGUGAAAGUUUGCAGCUUAACUGUAAAAAUGCCGUUGAAACUGUCGGACUUGAGUGUAAAUGAGGUAGGCGGAAUGCGUGGUGUAGCGGUGAAAUGCAUAGAUAUCACGAAGAACUCCGAUUG
rnacentral:rRNA from 1 species